rnacentral:lncRNA from 1 species
UAAAGAAAUGUUCAUCAGGGCCUCAGAAAGCAAGGCAGAGAACAGGUCCCUGAAAUUUACUAGCUUGCACCAAACCAUCAGAUAAAGAUAGGUUAAUAUUUGACAGAGAAAACUCUUCAAAAAGUGACAGUGAAAUACUCUUGAGAUGAAUCCAGGUAUUAAAAAGUUCAGGAAAAAAAAUUGUCUCUGGAAAAAAAAAAAGAAUCAAGGAGAGACCAGGUGCGGUGGCUCAUACCUGUAAUCCCAGCACUUUGGGAGGCCAAAGCAGGAAGGUCACUUGAGCCCAGGAGUUUGAGACCAGCCUUGGGCAACAUAGUGAGACCCCAUCUCUAAAAUUAUGUAAAUAAAAAUAUAAAAAUAAAAAAGAGAAAGCAAAUAACCCCAAAAUAACUAUUUUAUUUUUGUUUUUUAUUUUAUUAUUUUUAUUUUUUUUGAUACUGAGUCUCACUCUGUCACCCAGGUUGGAGUUGCAGUGAGCCGAGAUUGCUCACUGCACUUCACUUCACUCACUGCACUGCACUUCAGCCUGGGUGAUAAGAGCGAAACUCUGUCUCAA